GACUUACAGUUUCACUUCUUUAAGUUGGUUCGCGCCCAUUUGCCGCCCUCAUUGAUACUGAGAGAAUUCCAUCGGUUUACGGAGCAGUAGAUUAAUCACUGCGCGUACUUACCUAAUUGCUCUAAGGGUGACAGGGACAGAUGAUAGGUCGCUUUGGUGUCGGUUCCCUGGCCCGAACCGCCUUAGUCGCCCCUUUCUUCUGGGACAACUCGAACUGAGAUCAGGCUGAAACACUUUACUGAACUCUCCACAUCCUAUUCACCCUCGGGAGUGCCCGCGUUCACUUUAUGGUGAUGAAAAUUGCAAUAAAAUGAAUAAGGCACCCAGCCUUCGCCCCGUACAGGGGAGGAAAACCGAGGUUCCGGGCCAGAAUGGCCCGGCUAGGCCCGCCUUCUGUAACAGUCCACCCCUCAAACCGACCCCGCCGUGUAGACAAUUUUCUAUUGC
rnacentral:rRNA from 1 species